GAUGAAGAACGUAGUGAAAUGCGAUAAGUAAUGUGAAUUGCAGAAUUCAGUGAAUCAUCGAAUCUUUGAACGCACAUUGCGCCCGCCAGCAUUCUGGCGGGCAUGCCUGUUCGAGCGUCAUUUCAACCCUCGACAUCCCCUUGGGGAAGUCGGCGUUGGGGACCGGCAGCACACCGCCGGCCCCGAAAUUGAGUGGCGGCCCGUCCGCGGCGACCUCUGCGUAGUAAUCCAACCUCGCACCGGAACCCCGACGUGGCCACGCCGUAAAACACCCAACUUUCUGAACGUUGACCUCGGAUCAGGUAGGAAUACCCGCUGAACUUAAGCAUAUCAAUAAGCGGAGGA
rnacentral:misc_RNA from 1 species